GACGAACGCUGGCGGCGUGCCUAAUACAUGCAAGUCGAGCGCAGGAAAUCGACGGAACCCUUCGGGGGAAAGUCGACGGAAUGAGCGGCGGACGGGUGAGUAACACGUAAAGAACCUGCCCUCAGGUCUGGGUUAACCACGAGAAAUCGGGGCUAAACCCGGAUGGGGCAUAGGACCGCAUGGUCCGAGGAUGAAAGGCGCUUCGGCCUCGCCUGAGGCUGGCUGUGCGGUGCCUUAGCUAGUUGGUGGGGUAAUGGCCCACCAAGGCGGACGAUGCAUAGCCGACCUGAGAGGGUGAUCGGCCACACUGGGACUGAGACACGGCCCAGACUCCUACGGGAGGCAGCAGUAGGGAAUCUUCCACAAUGGACGAAAGUCUGAUGGAGCAACGCCGCGUGAACGAUGAAGGCCUUCGGGUCGUAAAGUUCUGUUGUAAGGGAAGAACAAGUGCCGCAGGCAAUGGCGGCACCUUGACGGUACCUUGCGAGAAAGCCACGGCUAACUACGUGCCAGCAGCCGCCGUAA
rnacentral:rRNA from 1 species